GACGUCAGCACACUGCUGUAACCAACGUUGCUGAAAUCUGGUUUGCAAGUUCGGUAGCUGAGCCGCUGUGCUAACACAUGGGAGUUUGGAUGGAGACCCAAGUUUCUGCUGGGAGAGUUGCAGGCUGCUGGAACCAACACAAUGCGGCUCCAUCAUCUGCCGCUUUGAGUCGGACAAGCUUUGUGCACCCUGCGCUACCUGUUUUCCUCAUGCCUCAGAAUCCCACUAUAAUACCCACGCCGGCAUGUUCCAAGCCUCCGGUCUGCCUGCUCAUUCCUAUCAACAGCUUCCCUUUUUCUAACCAACACAACCUCCGUGCUCUCCGGCUGGUCAGCCAGCAGUUCAUUCACCUCUCUCAGCCUCCAGUACCCUUCAGCCCUCCUGACAUCAUCCGUCUUCAACCUAUGCCAUAAUAAAUCUUUAAAAACA